ACUUUAUCGGGAAGAACAUACGAGCACACGUCAAGAGGUUUACAACGACGGAGAUACAGGGGAGCCUGUGGGUGGAUGGAUUCUGGGUAUCUGGUUUCCACUAGGAUUCGAUUAUACACGAGUGCAGGGUGUUAGAGAUGGAGUAACCGGCUGAAAGUGGACCGAAGUGGAACUUGUGCAGCGCCGCCUAUUGUCCAGUAGCAACGGGAUCGUCCAGUAUAACCUCUCGAAUUGUACGAAAAUGCUCGAGGUAUUUCUAUACAGAAAUAUAGAAUACGAUGGAGGACGUAGGAAUUAGAACGCCCGUUGGAUCUAGGACGCAAUUUGGCAAGUUGGAAUUGCACGUGUGAUGGUGGACAGAGGAGCCAAUGCUCGUAAACACGUUUCGUUUCCCUUGACGACGCCAAAAGUCGAUCAUUUUCAUCUGCCUUUUAUUACUUAUCCGAUUAUACGUUUUAGUUUUUAAUUAUCCUAGAAGAAAUAUUUGUAGCGAUAGGGUUUUUAAGACGAUCCAAAAUGUCGAGCGCGUAGAUGGCGCCAUCUACGUUACCGUAACUUUGCGUGCGUCCAAAUUUCGACGUGUUAUUAAUUUUCCUUUCAAGCUGGCUCGUGUGCUUUCCCAGAUAAACAAAUUUCAAAUACGGGUCAAUUGAAAACCGGUCACUGCACCUACUGAUAAACUUAUCGGUUUGAUGUAAACAAGGGUGGAGCCAAUCGGAAACCGCUACUUUCCAAUUGGAAUACGUUACAAUUUUUCUGCCCCAAUAAAUUCAGGAGAUAGAUGAAAUUACUCGAGGAGGAGCGAACGGUAUUAUUCUGAUAUAAUUUGUGUUAAAUUGAUUCAAAGCUUCAAGAUGUACCUUCCAACGCACGAAUUUCUUAAGUAAUUUGUUCUUCUGGAUACAAUCUUUUCAUCCUUGAGUAUAAGAUACUAAUCGAAGACAAACAACAACGCUUAAAAACCGAUAUCGUAGACAAGUGGCUAAAGUAAAUAGCAAUGGUCAGAUUAGUAUAAUGGUUCACGUUAAAGGUUAGAAAGAAUAGUGUCAAGUGUGUUCAUUUAAUUUUCUUAACGCGAUACAUAACGCUUUCACUUCGUCUAAAGGUGGAAAAAGAAUUCGACGGAAUUUUAAUGCGCUAGCUGACCACGCAAGGAAAACUGUUAUUCUUACAUAAAGGUUGGAAAUAUAACUCGUGGUGGAAUAUACCCACCGCAGAUAUAACUGUCAAUCUGUAACUUAAAAAAAGAUUAACAGUAUAAAUGCUGGGAAAUUCGAAGCGCGAUAAAAUUUGCCGACCGUGUACCAACAAUGAGAGCUAGUUUUUAAGAUGGACCGAUAUAUAUAUAUAUAUAUAUAUAUAUAUAUAUGUGUUUACGUAUGUUUACGUCAGUCAGUCAAUAAAAGAUCCUGCUUCUCUUACGUCAUUUUGAGGAGGGAGAGUACAACGUACAUUGUAACCACCUCACAUACACAUAUUUCUAACGAAACACAUGCGAUAUGUCGGUAUUUGAAGGAAAAAAAGAAACGUACAAAGAGAGGUUAUCAAGUUGUGAACGUGGUCACGCGCCGGUAUUAUAUUUGAUCGCUAAGAUCGAAUAAACAGGUAACCUCCACGGUUAAACGAUAUUGAACAAUCCUCGUUUUCUCGCCAUUUUUUUCCCUUUAGUUCCUACGGCAACCGCAUCAGAAUAACCUAUUACGACUUUAUUAGAAACGUCAAUAAGAUUUCGAUACAAUGAGGUUAGAAUCAUUGGAAUAAUAAUUCGAUUAAAACUCGGUGAAAUUUAGUAAAACUGAAUCGAUCGUAUAAUGUGCUUGAAAAUCAAUUUUAUUACGUUUCGAAACUGGUGUCAAUGAUUCUCUUCUAGGUCAGGUGUUCACAUUAGGUUUCUACAACUUCAUACGGUAUAUUUGAAA